AGGUGUUGGAAGUUAGAGGUAUCUCAUUCCACAUUUCUUUUAUAUCUAACCUUACUGAUUUCUACUUAUAUGUUGCUUAUUGUGUUUCUUCAAUAGGUUAUGGGCCCACACAUACUUGAUUGUGCUUCUCAAAUAAGUUAAAGUUAUUUGCUGGUUGUAGCUCUUGUGUAGAAUAGAUCUUAUGAUGUUUGUUGAUGUUAGAAUUUGUAUGAUCUAAUCUUAUAUUUUGGCUUAUGGAGGUUCUAAUUUGGGCCUUAUAGAUUCCUAAUAUAUGUUUGAAGAUUCUUAAUUCUUAGGAUUGAGUGAUUAAGACCUUAUACAAAGACCUUGAUAGUAUCUUUG
rnacentral:lncRNA from 1 species